AAAAGAAAAAGAAAAAAGAAGAAGAGCAAACAGUGUUGUGUGUGCUGUUUGGCUUGUCUUGCGUUUUUUCUCUCCCCUCC
rnacentral:ribozyme from 1 species